GCCGCUCUAAGAAGUUAGCGCCUUGUUGUCACAAGGACUCACACAGACUGACAUACAGCCUCUUGCCCUCAUGGCUUGGGACCAGGGGCACCUAGCUGCGGCACCCCGGUCUCCGCGCGCACCUCGUAAGAGCACCUCCUUAUCACCGUACAUGAUACAUACAUACAUACAUACAUACACACGCGCGCACGCACACACGUACAUACACGCAGGCUUGCAAGCGGCACGUCCCUACGAUUGUUCGUUUCACCCUGCCCUGCCUGGCGCUCCCCGGGGGCAAAUGACCAAACGAGCACCCCCUCUCAGCCACAGACCUCUCCCAACAGGGCCCAACACACACACAUACACACACGCACGAACACACACACACACACUCACACACUCACGAACUCACUGAAGUGCUCCCACUACGACGCUGCUGGACAACUACUUUCGGUCUUUCGGUCAAUACCCGCCAGCAUCACACCCCCGUUCGGCCAUCUCUCCUCCCCAGCUUAGCUCAUCAUAACACGCAUACACACAUACACUCCUCUCUCUUUUCCUCGCUCCCUGUUCCUCUUCCGCCCCUCCCUCCUCUGCCUACUCCCCAUAGGAAGUUCAGAUCGCCCCCAUCAACGACCGCCCUAGCUGUACCAGCGCCGUACCAGCGCCGUACCGCUACACCGCAAGUACUUUCCC
rnacentral:lncRNA from 1 species